rnacentral:tRNA from 1 species
AGCGAGAUGGCGCAGCUGGUAGCGCGCUGGGCUCAUACGAAACCCAGAGGUCGUCGGAUCGAAACUGACUCUCGCUA